rnacentral:lncRNA from 1 species
GGUCCCCAAAGGGUCUUUGUGACCCCAAAGGGUCCCCAAGGGUCUCCAUGUCCCUAAAGGGUCCCCAAAGGGUCUCCGUGUCCCCAAAGGGUCCCCAAAGGUCUCUGUGUCCCUAAGGGUCCCGAAGGGGUUUCCAUGUCCCUAAAGGGUCCCCAAAGGGUCUCUGUGACCCCAAAGGGUCCCCAAAGUGUCCCCAAAGGGUCUCUGUGUCCCCAAAGACUCCCCACGUGUCCCCAGAUGGUCCCCAAGGGGUCUUCGUGUCCCCAAACGGUCCCUAUGCGUCCUCAAAAGGGACUCAGUGUGUCCCCAAAGGCUCUCAGUGUCCCCAUGGGGUCUCUGUGUCCCUGGGGUUUUCUACUGCCGCAAGGACUCCCUGCUGUCCCCAAGAUGUCCCUCUGUCCCUAUGAUGUCCCUCUGUCCCUAUGGUGUCCCUCUGUCCCCACGGUCUCCCCACUGUCCCCAUGGUGUCCCUCUGUCCCUAUGAUGUCCCUCUGUCCCUACGAUGUCCCUUUGUCCCCACGGUCUCCCCACUGUCCCUAUGAUGUCCCUCUGUCUGCAUGGUGUCCCUCUGUCCCUACAAUGUCCCUCUGUCCCCACGGUCUCCCUGCUGUCCCUCUCAUGUCCCUCUGUCCCUAUGAUGUCCCUCUGUCCGCAUGGUGUCCCUCUGUCCCUACAAUGUCUCUCUGUCCCCAUGGUCUCCCCUCUGUCCCUAUGGUGUCCCUCUGUCCCUAUGGUCUCCUGUCCCCAUGGCGUCCCCCUGUCCGCACGGCGUCCCUCCAUCCCCACACCCCCCUUUCCCCCCCUCACCGAAGUCAAACAUGUCAUCCCAGGCGCGGCAGAAGCUCCUCCACGGCCCGGGGCAGAGGCGGCGCAGGGCGGGCGGCGUGGCCAUGGCCAGCAGGGUGCCGGCCGACACCGCACGGGCACCGCGCAGGAACCGCGCCGGACCGCGGGGCAGCUCCGAGCGAAGGCAGCCCAGGCGGCGGCCGAACAGCACCGCGGCCAUGCCUGGGGGGGGCAGGUCAGGGGAGGGGGGUCGGGGGGGCAUUGAGGGAUAUGGGGACAUUGGGGGGAUGGGGGGAUGUGGGGACAUUGGGGGGAGAUGGGGGCAUUGGGGGAUAUGGGGACACUGGGGGGAGGUGGGGACACUGGGGGAUAUGGGGACAUUGGGGGAUAUGGGGACACUGGGGGGAGAUGGGGACGUGGUGGGGAUGUGGGGACACGGGGAUGUGA